GGCUCAGUGGUGGAGUGGUCCACAUCUGCACUCUGUGGUCACAGAAACUGGCAAAGUAUGUAGAAGACGCUUGUUCGAAUCAAGCCUGAGCCU